rnacentral:lncRNA from 1 species
GUGACCCCUCCCUUGCCCAUCAUCUGGGUCAUCCAGAAACGCCCACUCCCAGAGCCUAGCGGAGUACAUAGAGGUCACAGUGAAUCAGUCGCUAUCAUCUUCACACGGAUGCUUGGGAAAUGAAAAUGGGAUGAUAAACAUGGGGGAAGGAGGCUCAGAGAGGAGAAGGGGUUUGCCCAGAGUCACACAGCUCAAAUGCAGCAGAGGAGCAUCCUGACUCCCCAUCCUGUAUCUGAUCUAAGACACCUCACACAGCCUUGAAUGUUCUGGCCCCCUGCUGACCCUGUGCUGUUGAAGUCGGGGCCUGUGGACAGCAAUGGAAAAUGUGUGUCAGAGGAAGCUGCUGCUGAGGACGACGUAGGUGAGGAAGCUGAGGCAUUGAGGUGUGAGAGGUCUCACUGCUAAAUGCUGGGAAACGGCAGAUCCAGGAUUUGAAACGAGGCAGUCUGCUCUCAACGGCUCCACCAAGGAAAAGGAAGAGGGAGCAGGAUCCUGACCAACACCUUAAGUGGGCCGCCAGGCCUGAGUCCCAGCUCGGCCUCGUCUCCCGCCGUGCCGCGUCUGAGUCUGCACUUGCAGUUCCCAGGAGUGCCCAACACUGCUUCUGUGCUCCAUGCCUUUGCUCAUGCUGUGCCCUCUGCCAGGAGUGCCCUUCCUGCUACCGGUUCAUUCACACUCGCCAUUUAAGGCUCAGCUCUUCAGUCUUCCUCGACUCCUAUACCAGCUGGAUUGGGGGCUCCUCACACCACCUGCUCCCCACUCCGUGUUGACUUC